UACAGAGGUCCCAAGCGUUGUUCGGAUUCACUGGGCGUAAAGGGUGCGUAGGCGGCCGGGUAAGUCUGAUGUGAAAUCCCGCAGCUCAACUGCGGAACUGCAUCGGAUACUCUCCGGCUAGAGGAAUGGAGGGGAGACUGGAAUUCUUGGUGUAGCGGUGAAAUGCGUAGAUAUCAAGAGGAACACCUGCGGCGAAGGCGGGUUGCUGGGCCGACACUGACGCUGAUGCGCGAAAGCUAGGGGAGCGAACGGG
rnacentral:rRNA from 1 species